rnacentral:pre_miRNA from 1 species
UACCACUAGUAGUUGAAGCUGCCAGCAUGAUCUGAGCUUUCCUUGACUAUCUUAUAUUGAAUUAUCGAUCCGGAGGAGAGACUAGAUCAUGUGGUUGCUUCACCUAUUGCUGGU